rnacentral:rRNA from 1 species
CCUACGGGUGGCAGCAGUGGGGAAUAUUGCACAAUGGGCGAAAGCCUGAUGCAGCAACGCCGCGUGAAGGAAGAAGGUCUUCGGAUCGUAAACUUCUGUCCUUGGGGAAGAUAAUGACGGUACCCUUGGAGGAAGCCCCGGCUAACUACGUGCCAGCAGCCGCGGUAAUACGUAGGGGGCAAGCGUUAUCCGGAAUUAUUGGGCGUAAAGAGUGCGUAGGUGGUUACUUAAGCGCGGGGUUUAAGGCAAUGGCUCAACCAUUGUUCGCCCUGCGAACUGGGUUACUUGAGUGCAGGAGAGGAAAGCGGAAUUCCUAGUGUAGCGGUGAAAUGCGUAGAUAUUAGGAGGAACACCAGUGGCGAAGGCGGCUUUCUGGACUGUUACUGACACUGAGGCACGAAAGUGUGGGGAGCAAACAGGAUUAGAUACCCGGGUAGUC